rnacentral:misc_RNA from 1 species
AGUUGGGAGAUUGAUUUAUCUCUCACAUAUUAGACCUGAAAUAGCUUAUGCGGUAAGUCUAGUAAGCCAGCAUAUGCACCUCACUUAAAAGUUGUUUUCCUUAUUUUGAGAUAUCUGAAAUCUGCCCCUGGAAAAGGACUCCUUUUUUCAAGGUAUGACCAUCUCCAGAUAAAAGUCUUUAUAGAUGCAAAUUGGGCUGGAUCUCUUAAU